rnacentral:rRNA from 1 species
ACGGGUGAGUAAUGUCUGGGGAUCUGCCCGAUAGAGGGGGAUAACCACUGGAAACGGUGGCUAAUACCGCAUAACGUCGCAAGACCAAAGAGGGGGACCUUCGGGCCUCUCACUAUCGGAUGAACCCAGAUGGGAUUAGCUAGUAGGCGGGGUAACGGCCCACCUAGGCGACGAUCCCUAGCUGGUCUGAGAGGAUGACCAGCCACACUGGAACUGAGACACGGUCCAGACUCCUACGGGAGGCAGCAGUGGGGAAUAUUGCACAAUGGGCGCAAGCCUGAUGCAGCCAUGCCGCGUGUAUGAAGAAGGCCUGCGGGUUGUAAAGUACUUUCAGCGGGGAGGAAGGCGAUGUGGUUAAUAACCUUGUCGAUUGACGUUACCCGCAGAAGAAGCACCGGCUAACUCCGUGCCAGCAGCCGCGGUAAUACGGAGGGUGCAAGCGUUAAUCGGAAUUACUGGGCGUAAAGCGCACGCAGGCGGUCUGUUAAGUCAGAUGUGAAAUCCCCGGGCUUAACCUGGGAACUGCAUUUGAAACUGGCAGGCUUGAGUCUCGUAGAGGGGGGUAGAAUUCCAGGUGU